UACGUAGGGUGCAAGCGUUGUCCGGAAUUAUUGGGCGUAAAGAGCUCGUAGGCGGUUUGUCGCGUCUGCCGUGAAAGUCCGGGGCUCAACUCCGGAUCUGCGGUGGGUACGGGCAGACUAGAGUGAUGUAGGGAAGACUGGAAUUCCUGGUGUAGCGGUGAAAUGCGCAGAUAUCAGGAGGAACACCGAUGGCGAAGGCAGGUCUCUGGGCAUUAACUGACGCUGAGGAGCGAAAGCAUGGGGAGCGAACAGG
rnacentral:rRNA from 1 species